GUGCUUGCUUGCUUUAGCAGCACAUAUACUAAAAUUGGAAUGAUACAGAGAAGAUUGGCAUGGCCCCUGUGCAAGGAUGACAUGCAAAUUCGUGAAGUGCUCCAUAUUUUU
ensembl:snRNA U6 U6 spliceosomal RNA